AACAUGGGUAUUGAAUAAUGUGCUACAUAAGCAUAACUCAUGCACUCUCAGCCGUCUGGACAGAGGACAAGGACCGACACCAUAACAGGGGACAGAGAUGCAGACAGUAGCACACACACAGGCAGUAGCACACAGGCAGUAGCACACACACAGGCAGUAGCACACACACAGUAGCACACAGGCAGUAGCACACACACAGGCAGUAGCACACACACAGGCAGUAGCACACACAGACAGUAGCGCACACAGACAGUAGCGCACACAGGCAGUAGCACACAGGCAGUAACACACACACAGUAGCACACAGUGCACACACAGGCAGUAGCACACACAGACACAGGCAGUAGCACACACACAGGCAGUAGCACACAGAGAGAGUAGCACACACAGGCAGUAGCACACAGGCAGUAGCACACACACAGUAGCACACAGUGCACACACAGGCAGUAGCACACACAGACACAGGCAGUAGCACACACACAGGCAGUAGCACACAGAGAGAGUAGCACACACAGGCAGUAGCACACAGGCAGUAGCACACACACACACACAGGCAGUAACACACAGGCAGUAGCACACACACAGGCAGUAGCACACACACAGGCAGUAACACACAGGCAGUAGCACACACACACAGGCAGUAGCACACACACAGGCACACACACACAGGCAGUAGCACACACACAGGCAGUAGCACACACACAG
ensembl:lncRNA